AUGGCUGUGAAAACUGGUGUGAGGUCUCAAGACUUCUCGCAGCGGUUCUGGUACACCUUGUCUCGUGCGAUCUGUGAGCUCUGCGUGAUCAUAUUGCUCCAUGUGGCUGCUACAACGUCAUAUGUGGCCACAAGGUUGGCACACAUCAGCAGGCUAAGGGCGCCAUGCACCAUGUGCUCAAGACUGGACCAAGCCCUCCAUGGAAAGGCAUGGUUCUCCGCUGAUUUGGUGUGUGCUGCCCAUAGGUCCGAGAUAUCAUCUUUGGCAUACUGCAAGAGUCACAACAAUCUUGCACAUUCAGCUGAUCUCUGCAAGAGAUGCCAUGCUGCAUGCACCCUGGCAGGCUUUGUCGAUGAGGUUAAUUCUCGGUCUGGAUCGAGGUCUAGACAGUUAUGUUCUUGUUGUUUGGAGCCAUUCAAGAAGGCGUGCAUCGCACAUAAGCUUUAUGAAACUGCAGAUGUUAAGGGCCCCUCACAUAAUGUGCAUGGUUUGGACGAAAUCAAGCAGAGGAGCCAAGUUGUUGUGAUAGAAAAAAUCAAUCCUGCCAUGCCACCCAAGUUUGUACCUGAACAGGUCUCUACAGAUCAUUCAAAAGUUAAAGUGGGUAUUGAGGAAGUCAGGGAGUCAGAUGCUUCACCAGGCACAUAUGAACAAUCUACAAAGGAUAAUGGUGCUUCUUCAAAUGCUGGUUUGGCAGCAAAGCCUGCACCCAAUGCGUCUUCCCUGCCUUCGCGCAUUUUCGUCGAUCGCAACAACAGUAUUAAGAACACUUUCGUUGGUAGGGUCAAUCUGCCAUCUCCUCGCCCAUCAGAGAUAAUCUCUGCCCGGGAUAACAAUUCUACUACUCAACAAGAAGUGAAGGCACUCCUUACUCAGAUGUCCUCUGUAAGGGGCCUUGACUAUUCUUGGACUGAAGGAGUAAGUAGUACUGAUACCAUGAUUCAGAAUGAUGAAAGCAAUGGUACCAGCAGGAGGCCAUACCUCGAGAGAAAUUACUCUGUGUUGGAAUCAUCGGAUGCAAACCUUGGUAUUUGUGAAGCUGAAGGAGAGAUCUCACUGGAGAGUUUGAAGCGGCAGAUUGAGAUUAACAAGAAGUCAAUGCUUGUCCUUUACAAGGAGCUUGAGGAAGAAAGGAGCGCUUCGGCGAUUGCAGCUAGCCAAGCCAUGGCCAUGAUCAACAGAUUGCAUGAGGAAAAGGCUGCAAUGCAGAUGGAAGCACUACAAUAUCUUAGGAUGAUGGAAGAGCAGGCUGACCAUGACCAUGAAGCGAUACAGAAUCUACACGACUUGCUUACAGAGAGGGAGAAAGAAUUACUUGACAUGGAUGCCGAACUAGAUAGUUGUCGAAGGCUACUCCAGCAUGACCAGUUUAAUGGGGGGAAUUUUGAUGAUACAGUGGACAAUACACCCGGAUAUGACAAGAAUGUGUCAUUUGAUGUCUUGAAUGCAUCGGAUUUCAUGACGAGCACCAUGUCAGGUUUCGAAGAAGAAAAGGCAUACAUUUUGGAAUCACUGGGCAGAUUGGAGGAAAAGCUUCGCAUUUCUACAUACAAGCUUGCUUCUGAUGAUGCCAAAAACAUUCAAGAGACAUUGCUUGGAGAUCAUAUAGGGGAUGAAUCAACUUCUUUUCAGCAAUCAAUUGAGCAGAAGGACAAGGAUGAGUGUUCAUGUUCUCCUUUCGACAACGAAAAAAUAAGUGGCCUAAACAAUCUUCAGGAUGAAAUUUCACUCUUGGAUACACGAUUGAGGGCCCUUGAAGAUGAUCAUGAGUUUCUCAAGCGGGUACUCAGUUCCCUCAAAGGCGAUGGGCUUCAGUGUGUACGAGACAUAAUGAGCCAUUUACAUGAGUUGCGAAGAGUUGCAGCUCAAUGA
rnacentral:rRNA from 1 species